rnacentral:rRNA from 1 species
GGAUUAUAUUUAAAAUUAAAGAAUUUGGCGGUGUUUUAUCUCAAUAGAGGAACUUGUCCUUUAAUCGAUAGUCCGCGUUAUAUCUAACCCUAUUUUAAGUUUAUAUACCGUUGUUGUUAGAUUACUUGUUUACAAAUCUUAAGUUUUCUUGAUAAAAAAUAUUUUGUGACUUCAAAUCAAGGUGUAGUAUAUGUUAGGGGCUGAGAUGAGUUACCCUUAGUUAUAAGCGGAGCACUAUUUGAAAAUUUUUGUUAAGUUGGAUUUAUUAGUAAAUUUUUAUUAAUAAAAUUGAUUGAAAUGAGAUCUAGAACAUGUACAUAUCGCCCGUCACUCCGGUUUUAAUAUUGGAUAAGUCGUAACAAAGUAGAGGUAAGGGAACUUGCUUCUAGAUG